UACGUAGGGGGCAAGCGUUGUCCGGAAUCAUUGGGCGUAAAGCGCGUGUAGGCGGCCCGAUAAGUCCGCUGUGAAAGUCCAGGGCUCAACCCUGGAAUGCCGGUGGAUACUGUCGGGCUCGAGUCCGGAAGAGGCGAGUGGAAUUCCUGGUGUAGCGGUGAAAUGCGCAGAUAUCAGAAGGAACACCUAUUGCGAAGGCAGCUCGCUGGGACGUAACUGACGCUGAGACGCGAAAGCGUGGGGAGCAAACAGG
rnacentral:rRNA from 1 species